UACUAUGCUGGUAGAUCUUUACCGUGUCACGUCGCGUUACAUUUCGAGAUAAUACGGUAAGCUCGUUCAUUCUCGCGUGUAUAAACAAACACCGGGCGCGUCUAAUCGUACACAUUAGGCGACAGGCAAUGGUCAUUUAAGUAUGCGAACGUCAGGUGAAUCUCGCGCACCGGAAAAGGUUAACGCGUUGUAUAGCCGACAGCGGAAACGCGACGUACGAGACGUAGACAUAUCUUGGAAGUACUGAAUAAACUAAAUCGGGUAUUGUGCAAUUGUGUUGCAGUUGUUCGUUCCGUAUAUCCCAUUACUCGAGAAGAAGUAUCGAAGAAAUUAUGGCGCUCGGACGAUUAUAGAUUAAUCUUUAAAUAGAACGUGGUUUCAAAGAAUACCAAGAAUACCAAUCUAUUUAUCAAUUUGAAAGUUAACAGUACUUAUUCAGAAGGAGAUAACAUCGAAGAGUUUCGCAUUUUGCCGUCAAGCAAGCGAUGUCAAUCCCUGCUCUGCUACUGAAACGCCAUUGAACGAGGAAAGAGGAAGAAAGCGUCGUGGUAAGAUAAUACGAAGCGAAGUAUUUAUCGGUUAACUUGUCAUCUCAGAGGGGAGGAGAAGAUAUCAUCGGGAAGGAUUGCGCAAACAUUUCCCGGGGGCAUGCGAAUGAAUACCCGGAUAUCUAAACACGAUGAGUGGAAUUAUGCGCAAACAUCUCGUACGACAACACGACGUCUAAGUGUUCAGGGGAGAAAGAGUUAACGCUUUCACGAAAGUAUCAAUAUGCAUAAGGGCCCGAUGUUGCCUCAAAUCACCUGGAGUAGAUAGAUGUAACGAGUCAUGAAUUAUAAAUCAUUCGAUGGAGAACAGGGUGCUUUCUCUAUUUCCUCAUGGCGAGCCUGCCGACGAAAAGACAAAAAUAAUUAAAGAUCUCAUCGAGGCAGACUCUCUCGAGUUUGACUCCGGAAGGCUUAAUUGUGGACCAUUUUAACUCAUCUGUUCAAGUUACUACUUGAUAAUGCAAUAAAUGAAGAAAUAGACAAGAUUAGAACGAUAUCGUUAUCACUAUAAAAGUGAUAUGACAGAAAAAUUAAGUGAUAUUGCCUUUCAGCCUUUUACAUUUGAGUGAUUGUUGCUCUUAUAUUCAGAUGUCGUUAACGUCUACAACAUAAAUACACGUUAAUGCACCGUAACGAUAAUAUCAUACUGAGGUUUUAAUAUUUUAUGCACUUUAAUUGGUAACGAAUGCGUUCUAGCGACGAGUCGUAACAUUUUUAAACUCGAUCGGGAGUUGUAGAAUAUUCCCAUGUAAAUUUCCUGUAAUACGUUUUCUCCUGUUCUCUGGUCAUAAA